GAUGAACGCUGGCGGCGUGCCUAAUACAUGCAAGUCGAGCGAACAGACGAGGAGCUUGCUCCUCUGACGUUAGCGGCGGACGGGUGAGUAACACGUGGAUAACCUACCUAUAAGACUGGGAUAACUUCGGGAAACCGGAGCUAAUACCGGAUAAUAUAUCGAACCGCAUGGUUCAAUAGUGAAAGACGGUUUUGCUGUCACUUAUAGAUGGAUCCGCGCCGCAUUAGCUAGUUGGUAAGGUAACGGCUUACCAAGGCAACGAUGCGUAGCCGACCUGAGAGGGUGAUCAGCCACACUGGAACUGAGACACGGUCCAGACUCCUACGGGAGGCAGCAGUAGGGAAUCUUCCGCAAUGGGCGAAAGCCUGACGGAGCAACGCCGCGUGAGUGAUGAAGGUCUUCGGAUCGUAAAACUCUGUUAUUGGGGAAGAACAAAUGUGUAAGUAACUAUGCACGUCUUGACGGUACCUAAUCAGAAAGCCACGGCUAACUACGUG
rnacentral:rRNA from 1 species